UCAUGAAAUGACUCUCGGCAACGGAUAUCUAGGCUCUUGCAUCGAUGAAGAACGUAGCGAAAUGCGAUACUUGGUGUGAAUUGCAGAAUCCCGUGAACCAUCGAGUCUUUGAACGCAAGUUGCGCCUGAAGCCAUUAGGUUGAGGGCACGCCUGCCUUGGGUGUCACAC
rnacentral:rRNA from 1 species